GACGAACGCUGGCGGCGUGCUUAACACAUGCAAGUCGAACGGAAAGGCCCUGCUUUUGUGGGGUGCUCGAGUGGCGAACGGGUGAGUGACACGUGAGUAACCUGCCCUUGACUUUGGGAUAACUUCGGGAAACUGGGGCUAAUACCGGAUAGGAGCUCCUGCUGCAUGGUGGGGGUUGGAAAGUUUCGGCGGUUGGGGAUGGACUCGCGGCUUAUCAGCUUGUUGGUGGGGUAGUGGCUUACCAAGGCUUUGACGGGUAGCCGGCCUGAGAGGGUGACCGGCCACAUUGGGACUGAGAUACGGCCCAGACUCCUACGGGAGGCAGCAGUGGGGAAUAUUGCACAAUGGGCGGAAGCCUGAUGCAGCAACGCCGCGUGCGGGAUGACGGCCUUCGGGUUGUAAACCGCUUUCGCCUGUGACGAAGCGUGAGUGACGGUAAUGGGUAAAGAAGCACCGGCCAACUACGUG
rnacentral:rRNA from 1 species